rnacentral:rRNA from 1 species
GAUGAACGCUGGCGGCGUGCCUAAUACAUGCAAGUCGAGCGAACAGAUGAGGAGCUUGCUCCUCUGACGUUAGCGGCGGACGGGUGAGUAACACGUGGAUAACCUACCUAUAAGACUGGGAUAACUUCGGGAAACCGGAGCUAAUACCGGAUAAUAUAUUGAACCGCAUGGUUCAAUAGUGAAAGACGGUUUUGCUGUCACUUCUAGAUGGAUCCGCGCCGCAUUAGCUAGUUGGUAAGGUAACGGCUUACCAAGGCGACGAUGCGUAGCCGACCUGAGAGGGUGAUCGGCCACACUGGAACUGAGACACGGUCCAGACUCCUACGGGAGGCAGCAGUAGGGAAUCUUCCGCAAUGGGCGAAAGCCUGACGGAGCAACGCCGCGUGAGUGAUGAAGGUCUUCGGAUCGUAAAACUCUGUUAUUAGGGAAGAACAAAUGUGUAAGUAACUAUGCACGUCUUGACGGUACCUAAUCAGAAAGCCACGGCUAACUACGUG